GAUGAAGAACGUAGCGAAAUGCGAUAAGUAGUGUGAAUUGCAGAAUUCAGUGAAUCAUCGAAUCUUUGAACGCACAUUGCGCCCCUUGGUAUCCCGAGGGGCAUGCCUGUUCGAGCGUCAUUUCACCACUCAAGCCUGGCUUGGUGUUGGGCGACGUCCCCUUUGGGGACGCGCCUUGAAACGCUCGGCGGCGUGGCACCGGCUUUAAGCGUAGCAGAAUCUUUCGCUUUGGAAGUCGGGGCCCCGUCUGCCGGAAGACCUACUCGCAAGGUUGACCUCGGAUCAGGCAGGGAUACCCGCUGAACUUAAGCAUAUCAAUAGCGGAGGA
rnacentral:misc_RNA from 1 species